UGUCUCUGUGGUACAAAGUGGAUCAUUGUGAGUACAAUUGUGGGAUCCAUGUGGAUGAUUUGGUUAGAAGGUCUGGUGCUCCACUGGGAGACUCUGUGUUGGGAUGCUGACAAGUCUGGAAUAUUCUCAGGGGGCAUCCUGAGAAAUAGAAGUUAUGUAUGAUUUCUCCCUCCUAGCCUCCACUCUUCAUUUGCAAAAUCUACAUUUGCAGAGUAAGUUCUGAUCUAUCAUUUCAGUGGGCUUCAGAAUCAAGCAAAUUUGUAUCUAUGACUACAACAGGCAUUAAUUUCUUCCUGUUGCUCUUAAUGCCAAACCUCUAAUUAUUUACUUCUUGGAGUUGUUGUAAGGUUGCUUCCAACCCUCCUCAAGGUACUUUUAGCACUUUUUCUUUUUGUUAGUUGUGCACUUUGCCAUUCAAGUGAUACUUGAACUAAAGUUGUGAAGAUAUUUUAAACAUAAAAUGAGCAAAGCUCUGAUUAAAGCAUUAUACAAAUUAUGCUAGUGAAAAGAAACAAUUCAUGCAGGAUCCAAUCUGGGUCAGUCAUUAGGAUCAAAGUUUUAGUCUUCUGAGCUUUCAGCCCAUCCUCAGGGAAUUUCUCUCUCACCAGAAUAUGUGCUUUGGGAGAUUCUAUCCAUAGUAUUUAUGUGCUGCCUGGUUGUGUAUGGCUUUUUAAUUGUUGAUUGGGGAGUUGAUGGCCAGUUAUUACAUUGUUGGCUAUUUGCUUCCUUGUGCUACCAAAUCUUGGCUCCUAAGUAGUUGAUAAGCUGAUGGUAAAUCAGCACUCCUGUUGAUUGACCAGGGGCCUGCUUCCCAGGCUUCAAUCAUUUCGCUGGCUAUUUUUGUACCUGCCUGGCCAACAUUUUUAGUAGCUGUGAAACUGAAUGUAUGUCCUUGUUCAUUGCAAUGUGAGGCUACCAAUGAGUUCUCAUCUGACCACUCACUUGUACUUUUGCAACCUAGUGGUUAGCUUCCUCCCCAUCUGUCCUACAUAGUCACAGGGGAGCUGGUAGAUUCUAAAGUUCAGAAUCCUAAACCUCUGGUCUAGGUGACCAACCCAGAUUGGAUCCUCAGCAUUAUCCUGAGACAUAUAUAUUUGCGUUUAUUCAGAACAAUUCAUCCCUAAUGCUGCUAUAAACAAUAUCCAAUAUUUCCUAAUAGAUUAUCCUGAUGGAGUCUUCCUUCCAUUUACCUUCCAUCAAUGACAGCAUCUAUGAAUGUAUAUGUUUAUGUAUGUAUGUACUAUAUAUGAAUUUGAAUAUGUAUGUAUGUAUGUAUGAAUAACAGAAGUGUUCCCAAUUUUGACAAUGAAAAUAGGAUUAUAGAAGUACCAUAUUUUGGAAUCCCUCCUUUGGAAAAAUAAUGUAAAAUGAUUGCUCUUGGAAGAAGAAAGGCACAACAAAAUAAAUCUAGGAAAGUCAUAAUAAUGCCAACUUUCUUCAAUGUCUCUUUCAUCAGUUUUAAAACACUUGCCAAUUCUCUCUUAAAAGGCCAUGUUAACACUAGAGCUAGAAUUAAAGGAUAGAGCAUAAGCUCCUUACACAUACACACCACAUUUGUAAAUCACUGACAGAAGGAGGAGGAGGCUGACUGCUUUUGUGACCUUUCAUGCAUGAAGAAGGGACAAUUCUCCGCUCCACUUCACUAAGUCAGUAGGACAAGAAAAGGAGGUGAAGGUUGAUAGCCCAUGGCUAUCAACCAAGCUUAUGCAGCAAAGUCUUUGAUAAAGAAAUAAUGCCAUUUUAUCUAGAACCCACAAGGUUAUCCUGACAGGUAGAAAUCAAAACAAAAAAAAAUCUAGCAAAGCCAGCAUUUUUAAUGUUGUGGGUAAAAUUCCUGAGUUACUUCUUGUACAAAAUUGUGUUUCACAUAGAAUCAGGGUUGAAAGACCCCAUGAGCACAUUCAUUUUUGAUAAGCCUACAAGAUGAAGAAUAAGGUAGAUCUUCUGCCUUAAUUUUUUUUUAUAGAUUCUCCCAAAGCCUUUGACGAAUUGUUGAUGGAAAAAAUAGGCAAAAUUGCCUGGGUCUUGCCUGGCCACAGUAUUCCUCCACACUGUGUGUUUUGCUAGUUCCAUUCUUCACAAUUGUGUCUUUUAUAGGAAUUAGUAAAAGCACUAGCUCUUCAAAUAGCUAUAUAUUAAAGGAAGAGGAACUGCAGUAUUUUAAGCCUUAUUUGUUUAUUUAGGUGGUAGGUCCUGCUGUGUUUGAAAGGAAUCAUUUUAUUUAAUACAGAUUUAUCACUAGGAAGUUAGCCCUGACAAUCAUUACGAGCAGCUAGCUAUUUCUAAUUAAAAAUAAAAUUUUAAAAUUGUCCUCUUCGCCUCUCUCCCUCUUUCCAAACACACAAACACAGACCCACUUCAUAAGAAACAAGAGGCCAGAGUCAAUAAAAUCAGCACACUCUCUGAAACUGCAAUCAACAGCAGGGUUAUAAAUUAGAAAGAUUUGAUUUGAAUCUUUCCUCUGGCUAUCUUAUUUUAUACAUAAAACUAUGUCAUUAUUUGUUUCAGUUCCUCUGCAGUUAAGCACCACAAUUAUGACUCUCUUUAGUCAUCUUUAGUUUGUUUUCAGCAGCGCCCAGGAGAAAUGAGAGAAGAAUACCGUGGUUUAUCUGUCUCAAAGCAUAUUGGAAAAAAUAAAUGAUUUAUCACCAACAACAAUGCUUUCAAAUCAUAAAAUAAAUCAGAUCCAAAUAAGUUCUUCUUUCUUUCUUGGGGAUAGGCUACAUUAUUAAGAGAAGCUAAAACAACAUACUGUAACAAAUUGUGUUUGAUAUAAGCUUGGCUUAGCUAUAUAUGUCUCCACUGAUCUACCUUACAGAGCUUCUGGAAAAGAUACAAACUUGGAACUGGUUAAAGUAGAAGGUUACAUCUGAAAAUAAAUACCCAAGUGGAUCAGCAUCACAUUUUCUUUUAUCUAAAAUUUUCUGAGAAAUAUUCAGAGAGAGGUCUCCAUCUUUUUAUAAAUAGUCAUUAGUUUAUUUAAAAAUAUCUGACCCAAAGCUCUAAGUUGAGUAAGAAUACUUUAGUUAUGGGGGGAACAAAUCUAAAAUCUGGAAUGUUAUAGAGUAACCUAUCCCAAAUAGGUACUCUUAUGAGUUUUGAACUCCAAAAUGUUUUGCCAUUAGGCAAGCGGAUUUAUAGUCCAAAACAUUAGGAGGGCACUAGGGUACAAAAUAUAUUUAUAUAGAGAGUAUGAAAGGAUUGCUAAGCAGUAUCCCCAAACAAUUACAGUAUUGUUAAAGAUGGGUCUUUGGAAAGCUUCCUAAUAGGCUGGAAGCUAUCAUAAACCGUCUCUGAUGCAUCAUCAAGAAAAUGGGCAAUGAUUAAGCUUGAGCAUGGAGAUCUUCUGGUCAACAAAGAUAUAAGGAAGAGGACACUUUAUCUGAACCUAAAUUUGAGACUUUCACACCUUUCUUGACAUAAUUUCUUUUAUUUUGACACAGAAUGUGUCCUGUAUAGUGUUUGCUGUUAUAUUGGUCAAUAUAUAACAAUAGUAAUAGCACUUGUCAAUAUAUAGCAAUAGUAAUAGCACUUAGACUUAUAUACUACUCAAUAGUGCUUUA